rnacentral:misc_RNA from 1 species
GAUGAAGAACGUAGCGAAAUGCGAUAAGUAGUGUGAGUUGCAGAAUUCAGUGAAUCAUCGAAUCUUUGAACGCACAUUGCGGCCAUAGGUAUUCCUUUGGCCAUGCCUGUUCGAGCGUCAUUUACACCCUCAAGCCUAGCUUGGUGUUGGGCGCCUGUCCCGCCGUUUUCGCGCGCGGACUCGCCUCAAAGUCAUUGGCGGCGGUCGUGCCGGCCCCCUUGCGCAGCACAUUUGCGCUUCUCGGAGGCCCGGCGGAUCCGCGCUCCAGCAAGACCUUUCACGACUUGACCUCGGAUCAGGUAGGGAUACCCGCUGAACUUAAGCAUAUCAAUAAGCGGAGGA